UCCUUUAAAUGAUUAUGAGUUGGUCUCAUAUUUUCUGUCCGAUCUUGGCUCGGAGUAUGAUUCCUUUGUAACAUCAAUUACAACACGAGUGGAUCCAAUGACUCUUGAUGAUCUUUAUGGUCAUCUUCUUGCUCAUGAAC